GGCAGAAUGGCCGAGUGGUCUAUGGCGACGGUCUCAAGCACAGUAUAUGUACUUUCGCCUGCGAAAAGCAGCGUUCCGUUCACGAAAGUGGCCGGGGUUCGAAUCCCCGUUCUGUCA
rfam:Metarhizium majus ARSEF 297 Scaffold_7, whole genome shotgun sequence.